UACGUAGGAGGCAAGCGUUGUCCGGAAUUACUGGGUGUAAAGCGCGUGUAGGCGGCAGGCCAAGUCUGUGGUGAAAUCGCUCGGCUCAACUGGGCGGGGUCCAUGGAAACUGGUCAGCUGGAGGACGGUAGAGGUGAGUGGAAUUCCCGGUGUAGUGGUGAAAUGCGUAGAGAUCGGGAGGAACACCCGUGGCGAAGGCGGCUCACUGGGCCGGUCCUGACGCUGAGACGCGAAAGCCAGGGGAGCAAACGGG
rnacentral:rRNA from 1 species